AAUUUGAUUAAUCUUCAAUGUGUUCACUUAAUAAGUUUUCCAUUUAAUGUUUUAUGCGUAGAUAAUGACACAAAUGCAGGGACAUGAGCCCGCUGAUGUGAUAUACCUCAAAAGCAAGCAUUAGUAUUUAUUUGUUUUCUCAUUUUUUUGCCAUUUCUUCCUAAAUUUUACUAUAACAAAAAACUCCAACAAAAUAAAUAAAUAAACCGGUUGUCUGUUUUAUUAGGGGCUCCAAGAGUCACUUCCUUCAUAAGUUUCCAAUAACUGAAUUAGAGAGGCUCCCUCCCAAAAUCCUACCGCUUCUUCUCCUCUUUUUCCCUUUCUCCUUCUCCAUUUGAGAGUCCAUUCAAUUGUCCUUUCCUACUCCAUGUUCCAAUUAUGUUUGCACACUUGAUUCUCUGGAAUUCAGGUAUUACGGGAGCUUCAUCAAUAAAAUUUUGCUCAAUCCAAGUUCAUUGUUUUACCGUUGGGUGGGUGAUGUUGGUAAUUAUAUUAUAGAUACUUUAGCUUUCUGAUUGCGAUUUUUCUGUUCAGAUUUGUAUCACUAAUUUGCUUAAUUGAAUCACUUAUUGUCUAAUUUAUGUGUACUCCUCUUUCAGGCUUUCAACGUUGCUCUCUACAAGUCUCGGUUCUCUCCUCAACAAUGAGGGACUACCGAGGUCACUCUUGAAACUUUCAAUGGUUUAUUUAUACUUGAGGUACUAUAUUCUUCUAUUAGAGUUUGUUUUUGUUGUCGUAUAGUUGGGUUUUAGGUGAUGAGGGAAAAAUUAAAAUUCGUACUUUAAAAGUAGAUAAAUUACCAGCAUGUGCCAUAAACUUGCUGUCGUUUCAUAAAGCUUGAUUAGCUUUCGUUUCAUAUAGCUUGAUUAGAGAGGGCCAACAGAGAUGUGGCCAAGGGCUGAACAAGGGUUUAUAACGGUCACUCUUGAAACUCCAUGGGUUCAUUUAAACUUUGGAUUUUAUUGUUCACGUUGGAGGUCGAACUUGUACAGGAAGAGAUGGAGAAUCUGUUUAUGGUCUUCAAUGAAAGACAUAGGAGUUGCCGGGAACAAGUAGUUGCUAAAGAUAUUAGCUCCAUAAAACUAUUUUGAUUUGUAUUUCGGCAAAGACAUGUGGACGAACUUUGGCCCACGUCAAGAUGUGAACUUCGUUGAAGUUAUUAGGUAAUACUUGCUACUAUGCUACUUUAUAGACACUGAGGAUAAUAGGAGGCACUUUGGUAACCCUCUUAAUCUUUAAAAGUGGAAGUGAUGUAAAUUAGGAACUUCAUGGGUCUACUUGUGGUGUUAGCUAGUCUGCAACUUCCAUCAUAUAUACCUUCUGUUAAGCUCCUGAAAAAUCGAUCCCUCCUAUGCCUAUUCGGUCAUCUUUCUUUCUAAUAAUUAAACAACCAGAAGGUAUGUCUAUUCAUAUCCUCAUCCCUUCCUAGUUUUUUAGUUGCGUAUGUGCAUAUUCAUUUGAAAUGUUUUACUUAUAUUUCUCGAUCGUUUUUAUUGAAUAAUUGUUAACUUUA